rnacentral:rRNA from 1 species
GACGAACGCUGACGGUGUGCUUUAGACAUGCAAGUCGAACGAGAAAGCCCUUCGGGGUUAGUAAAGUGGCGAACGGGUGAGUAACACGUGGGCAAUCUGCCCCUCGCAGGGGGACAACCGGAGGAAACCCCGGCUAAUACCCCGUAAGUUCAAAGGGAGGCAUCUCCCCUUGAAGAAAGGUAGCUUCGGCCAUCCGGCGAGGGAUGAGCCCGCGGUGCAUUAGCUAGUUGGUGGGGUAACGGCCCACCAAGGCGACGANGCAUAGCUGGUCUGAGAGGAUGAUCAGCCACACUGGGACUGAGACACGGCCCAGACUCCUACGGGAGGCAGCAGUCGGGGAAUCUUGCGCAAUGGGCGAAAGCCUGACGCAGCAACACCGUGUGUGUGAGGAAGGCCCUCGGGU